rnacentral:rRNA from 1 species
UACGUAGGUGGCAAGCGUUAUCCGGAUUUACUGGGUGUAAAGGGCGUGUAGGCGGGAGAGCAAGUCAGACGUGAAAUUCCAGGGCUCAACCCUGGAACUGCGUUUGAAACUGUUCUUCUUGAGUGAUGGAGAGGCAGGCGGAAUUCCGUGUGUAGCGGUGAAAUGCGUAGAUAUACGGAGGAACACCAGUGGCGAAGGCGGCCUGCUGGACAUUAACUGACGCUGAGGCGCGAAGGCGUGGGGAGCAAACAGG